CAGUCGCCGCGGGAAAACGGAGGGUGCAAGCGUUAUCCGGAUUUAUUGGGUUUAAAGGGUCCGUAGGCGGAUCUGUAAGUCAGUGGUGAAAUCUCACAGCUUAACUGUGAAACUGCCAUUGAUACUGCAGGUCUUGAGUAAAUUUGAAGUGGCUGGAAUAAGUAGUGUAGCGGUGAAAUGCAUAGAUAUUACUUAGAACACCAAUUGCGAAGGCAGGUCACUAAGAUUUAACUGACGCUGAUGGACGAAAGCGUGGGGAGCGAACAGGAUUAGAGACCCCAGUAGUCCCUGUCUCUUAUAC
rnacentral:rRNA from 1 species